rnacentral:lncRNA from 1 species
UUGCUUUGGAGAUUGAGACAACCCUCUCCUGGCUGCAACUAACUCUAGAACCUUCCCGACAGUUGCUCUCUCCUUUCGCUUGUGAGAAGUGCUUUACUGUGGGAUAAAAUUAGCAUCUUCAUCAUCAGAGUUGAGCCUCUUCCUUGCUCUAGUUGAUGCCUUGGGCAGGUCAUGUGAGCUGGGGGUGCCCGAGUCUGACUCACUCCUCUCAAGACUAG